AUGAGGCGUUGCCUCCCGUUCCUCUCAUCGCGUCCCUUGUGCCAGCCAUGGGAGAGGGGAGGAAGAAGGGGAGGGAGAGCAAGGAGGAGGAGGAGGAGGAAGAAGAAGAACCUUCUCUGUAGAAUCAGCAGAUCGAUCUCGUCGAUGCUGCAGGGCCUGGCCCGUUCCAUGUCUCUGGGAAAGGAGAGGAAGGUGGAGGAGGAGCACCAGGGGACGGUGCUGCGAUCGUCGGGGACGCUCUGGGGCGAGGGCUCCGAGACGUUCGCCGCCGCGUGCUGGACGUACAAGCACGAGCACCACCGCUGGCCGUUUCCUCCAUACUGA
rnacentral:rRNA from 1 species